AAUCAGUCCAAGAAGGGCCCGAAUUCUCCUCCAAGCUGGUGUCUCUGCAGUCAUGACCCCCCAGAGUAGAAGGUGCUGCGGCGGGGGAUGCCACCUGAGUUUUCAGGUAAGUAGUCUGUGCCUUCUGGCGAAGGUGCACACUCCUCACACUCCCAUUUCUUACUGUUGGAUCUAAGAAAGGAGCAGUCCCUAUGGGUUCCACGGGAUCCGCAUGUGGCACAUAGAACGAGGCUCCACCUCCUACAGGAAGACAAGGAAGGGUUGUGGGCACAAAUAUAACACUAUCUACCGCUUCGGGAUGUCACUACAGGGCAGCCUUUGCUGAGGGCUCCCCAGGCAUCUUUUGUCAUACAUUUUACCCAGGAUGAAUGUGUGGCUGUGUGCUGAUCUCAGGACCUUGCAGUUAGGCACAGACACUCAAAAGGCGGGUUUGGAAAGAAUUGGCCCUGAGUAUCUCUCCACUGGGCUCAGGGAGAAGCAGACCUGCAGAGGGACCUGUUCACCUGCACAUGAAUGAGUCCCGGGAUGUGAUGUGUUUGCCCUGAGGACUGUAGACAAAAGCGAAUUCUUUGCUCUUAAUAACUGUGCCAAGGUCUAACUCUAAGUUGGCACUGAGGAGAAAACUUUCUAGCCAGAAGCCUUUCCCUACCCUUCGUCCUCAAAGUUGUCUCUGCCUUGUUCAUACAGACAGAUGGGGGCAUCACAAUGCUGAUAGCGCUGAUACAACUCUGAGAAAGCCCCUGGUUCGAGUUCCCAGGCGGCAUCUCUGCAGUGGGAGAAGAACAGUAAGGGACACAUCAUUGGUUGGUGAAACCACUCUCCUCCUGGGAAGAACUAGCAAGAAGUCAAACUAGCACAGCAAAGGAGUUCAACAGGCUGCCUGAAUGAUUUCAGCAAGGUUGGGAAGGUGGCCUGACAGUGGGAGAGGGUUGAAGCCAAAUGAAUGGAACAUGGGGUUCCUUAGUUUCACACGAGAACUGGAGAACCUACCCCUCACCCAGGGAGUUCUGAUCCCCAAAGCACCCUUGUCAGAAACAUACCUAUCCCCAACGCUCAAUCCUCUUUUCUUUAGAUAUUUGAAAAGCUCUCCCUCUACCCAUUUCCUCUUCACCAUAUAACAAUGCCUUGGCUGCUUCUUCAUUCUCUAAACUAUCCUCACGCUCACCUCCUCUCUAGAAAUCUAGGCAACCCAUUCCCUGGCUCAAUUCCUGCUUUAGAGUUUCCACUACCUGUCUGGAAUGUGAAUUCCCAUUCUUAGCAUUUCUUGAGGAAACUCUUCUCUAUUGUUGCAUUGUGGACAUUUGAAGAAAUGCUUUGCCGAUGUGUGGGCAUAUUUCUGUAAGAGAAACAUGGAAAAACUUUGUGUUUGUAAAGACUCUAUCUUUGAUCACCUCAUUUCCACCUCCACCCUCAUCUCACAAAGAGGACGUUGCUAAGAAAGCUUGCCUGGGGCUUACAGGAAAAGGACUUUGGGUGUGUUAGGGCGAGGGCUGCAUAUUCCUGUGCCAGACCAGGGACCAAAAGCUUAAGAAAGUUCCCAGGAGUGCCUCAGCUGUCAUCUCUGGCUAUAAGGCUUAGCAGUGCUAACCCAGAAGGGCUCGGGGACCUGAAUACGUUUCUCUUUCCUUCCAUGCGAGGAAGCAAGACUGGUUUGGAGGCCACUUGACUCAUUCUACGAUGAGCUCAUUUGCUCUAGCCAUCCUGAGGAUUUUUUACUCAGUCUAAAUCUUAUCAUCAUGAGGGAGGUCCUACAGGUCAAGGGUGACCAAAGACUGGGCUGACUUUCCUCUGACUUCCUGGAACCAGCCCUGCAUGCAGGCCUCCUGUUGAGAUUGCCUGAGCAUUCCCAGGGGGCUCUGAACUAGGACAAUUGUGGAAGUCCCCUGGGCAGAGAGAGCCCCACCUGUAUGCACUUUCGGUGGUAGAGAGUUUGACUACAGCAUGGACUCUGGAUGUUUUCAACACUUGCUUGGGACAAGUCUUCACAACAUAAGACGCAGCUUUCCUCUCCCACAUUCCCCCGUUGGAUGUCCUGUGUUGGGCGAUGUUUUUCACAGAAUGAUCUGUGGCAGAGUAAAUAAACUUGGUUUUCAUUUAUCUU